UUUUUUUUUUUUUACAAGACAUAGAGUAAAAUAUAUUUACCAAACUACCCUUUACUUAAUUUGGGGUUACCUCUUAUCAAAUUACAUUUUGCAAAAACAACCCUAGUUUUUCUGUAAUUAUAAAAAUACCCUUUUUACUUACACUUUUAAAUUUUCAAAAGUUUCACAUAACACACAUGAGCUUCACACAAACAGACACAUACUUCACACUAACAAAUUAUGUGCCUAGUUUACAAACACAUGAACUGUCAC
rnacentral:lncRNA from 1 species